CAUUCGAAUCUUACGAUGAAAAUGACAAAUAUUACAAAACCAUACAUUUCGCCUCGUGGUCACUUAACAGUAAAUAGAGGAGUUGAAGCAAGAGAAAACGAGAUCGCCAACAUUCGUUUAGAAGCAGAACCGUUGAGCUCUAGUCGUGCGCUUACUGAAUGCAGCCAAAGCCAUGCAAGUGUUGCAUUGGCUGCUGGCGACGCGCCGACUCUACCGUCUUCACCACCAUCUAUAUGCGAUCAAUCUGCUUCUUACGUAAAAGUGGUAGUGCAGAAACAGAAGGGGAGGGUAGGAACGCGCCUGCCUGCUGCCUCCAGCCCCACCGCUGUAUUUCCGUGCAAAACAACGGUUUCUUCUAAAUUACAUUAAAUAUCUAAACUGAAGUACAUCUAUAAACAUACA